UCGGCGACUUGGGUACCAUCUUCGACACUGGGACAAAUCCAGGGAUGGAGUCCAGGGUUUCCCGCGGCUUCGGCGCUUCCUAAGCUGGCGUGACUGCCGACUUCUGGGCACUACCCAGGCCUCAGGCGCCCUGUCUGUAGUGGUGAAUCGAGCCUUCCUCAUGGCAGUCCAGGCUCCCAAGCCCCGAGUCCUGGUGAUCGGGGACAAACCCUUCCUUGAACAUUCUUCACUACGAGCCACUGCUGAUGUGUACUGCCUGGAGGAGCAUUUCCAUAGCGCCCGCAGAAAUACCAUAAAGCUCACCUAAGGAAAUAACCAUGGAUUAUCACGCCUAGGUGUCAGUGUUUGGAAUCGACUGGGCUUUUUAAAUUUAUGUUAGUAGGCAAUUUAAAACAGUUACUUAUUUGAAAUCAGAAGCGCAAUGGGCACAACUUCAGGUACGUGCUCCAUCACCACGUUUUGUGGAUUUUUCUUUUUAAACAUCAGUUGUGUUCUCUACAACUCUCCGCCUUCAGGGUCAUCCUUUCCAGGAACAAUAGCUUCCCAAUUCGGCUUUCUGCAUCUAUUUUUCAUACAGCACCAUUGUAGUCUUCAAAUACAAAUAUGAUCACGGCAAUCUUCUGCCGAAAAGUUUUUGGUGGCUUUCCCUUGCUCUUAGAAUAAAAAUACGCUCCCGAUUGUCCAAGUUUUCAGCUUCAUCUCGUUCGCCCACCAUACGCUGAACUCUAAACUGUAGUGGCUUUUUUUCCUCAGGUCUUCCCACAGAAUUUCAGGAAUCGUUUUCUUCGGGGAACCAUUUCUUGACCCCCUUACUGGAUGGAACAAGCCUCCCUGUUAAACAGUGUUGGUGGCCCAGAAACAUACCCCAAAUAAUGGCGUUUUGACAUCUGAACUGAAGAAGCCUCAAGGUCCCACUCCCCUAAAUCCCCCACGCCAUCUCUGCCAAAGCAAAGGAUAAAGUUUAGACACAAGGAACAUAAUUGUUUUUGUUGCCUCCCUGUAAGACCAAGAAUGUAGUAAUCACACCUGAGCAGACCCUUUCACAAGAUGUUGUACAAAUUAACGUGUUCCUGAUACAUUCAUUCUCCCUUGUAAUCCCUCAACAGAAUUCCUCUUCUCCCUACCAUAACCUGUGUCGCUGGGAUUGUAUCCACAAGCUUCUGAAGCCCUCUGAGAGCUCAAGAUCCCAGAGGAAGAGGAGCCAUCUUUCCCAGUGGCUUUAGCAGAAAAGUCCCUGAGCCAGUCACUGUGCCCACUGGAAGACAAAUGGAGACUCGCCAAGCUUUGGUCAUGAACUCACUGGGACUGCAGGAGACUGGGUCAGCCCCACCAAAAUAAUGCAGAAGGGAAAUACGUGGUUUUUCAAAGGAAAGGUGGGAAAACCCAGUCCAAUAAAUGUGUUUUUCUUUUGGUCACACAAAUCAUAUGCAAUAUGUGCUCAUUUUAUAAAAUUACACACUCCCCACUACAUUUUAAAAAGGAUGUAUUGACAAU